rnacentral:piRNA from 1 species
GGAAUGAUGUGAUUGUAUACAAUAAAGAGUA